AACGCGAAGAACCUUACAAGAAUCUGAUUAACUUCGACCGACUGCGGGAGCUCCACUGGUGCAACCGCACGAUGGGUGGCGCAAUACAAAUGUACCGUCACCUGACGGGGCGCGAGGUGACCCUUGACGAGCUACUCAGUGUUCGGAUGACGCCGGACGGCGUCCAGGCGCUUCUGUUUGGUGCCCUGGUGGAUGUGCCCCUGGCGGAUUUCACGGACAUAUAUGCAUCGCUGUCUGAGCAAAAAGAUGAGCACGGCGUGCCUAUGAUUUUUCCGGAAUUUCAAGCGGCGGUGUAUGACGGUGUUUUCCAUUAUUUACCGGAGUCAAGCACCCGGUUGGUGGGUCAGGGCGAUCCCGCAUGGCCGGAAGCCUUGCCGGAUAAAAAUGCAGGGUCCUUCAGCCUGUUGCCGUUCCCGGGCCUUGUACACACCG
rnacentral:rRNA from 1 species